rnacentral:rRNA from 1 species
AUACGGAGGGUGCGAGCGUUGUUCGGAAUUACUGGGCGUAAAGGGCGCGUAGGCGGCACUGUAAGUCAGAUGUGAAAGUCCAGGGCUUAACCCUGGAAGUGCAUCUGAUACUGCAGAGCUUGAGUAUCGGAGGGGAAAGUAGAAUUCCUGGUGUAGGAGUGAAAUCCGUAGAUAUCAGGAGGAACACCGGUGGCGAAGGCGGCUGCCUGGACCGAUAUUGACGCUGAGACGCGAAAGCGUGGGUAGC